ACACUGCUUGAACCCCUUAGACGCAGGUGUACUCCUGGGCCCAUAGUCAGGGGCUCAUACGUACUCCCAUAACGUAACUGUGUAGUUUGUGGUGUCCGUCCAGCUCCAAGCUGCCGUCACGCUCAGCUGUAGGGGUUGGCUUGGGUAUAAUUUGAUGGAAUCUGUCAGGGUUCGUGGAGUCAUUGCCAUCUGAGUCAGCUCCCAGAGCCGCCUCAAGGCCAGGUUUCCAAAUGGCCUCACACAGUUUCCUUUCUGCCAGGAUUUUCAAAGGAUUAGAGUU
rnacentral:lncRNA from 1 species